CCCUUAGAUGCUCUGGGCCGCACGCGCGCUACACUGGUCGAUGCAACGAGUUUCUUUCCUUGGCCGACAGGCCUGGGCAAUCUUUGAACAUCGAUCGCGAUCGGGAUAGAUUCUUGUAAUUUUUGAUCUUAAACGAGGAAUUCCUAGUAAACGCAAGUCAUCAGCUUGCAUUGAUUACGUCCCUGCCCUUUGUACACACCGCCCGUCGCACCUACCGAUUGAAUGGUCCGGUGAAAUCUCCGGACUGGCGUGAGUCGGAGCAAUCUGACAAACACCGGAAAGUUGAUUAAACCUUACCAUUUAGAGGAAGGUGAAGUCGUAACA
rnacentral:rRNA from 1 species